GCCACGACCUGUCCCCCUGCUCAUGUCACCCAAGCAAGAGGCCGCCGCCGACAAGAACCAGCUUCCUCCACCUGCAGAUGGGAGGAGAGACCAGGCCACCAAAGCCUCAACAGUAUGAUGAUGGUGUUCUCCCCGUGGCUCCAAGGAGCUCACGCUUCUUCCCUGCCACACCAAGGGCUUGAAUAUGUUUUGCUGGAAGAAAGUGAGGGGACAAUGUAGUUUUCUGUGGUCAUCGAUGAUCACUACCAAUACUCCAUGACCUACAUAUAGUACACGUGGCACAGUUUGCCUCUAAUGCUUCUGUCUGGCGUAACACAGACUUUCUGGCUGUGGUGGUGGUGGUGCUGCUGCUGCCGCCGCAAGGAGGCCGUCCUGCACGAGGUCAAGCUGCUUGGCCCCAAUGGCCAAUUGCGGCGAGCUCGACGCCUCCAUUUAGAACAUGUCGACAUCGGCCCCCAAAGGUUGUGCCAGUACAAGAACUUCAAGGAAGAUCACAAGAAGACUCUUGUGGCGACAUAUUUAGUUGGCUGGGGAAUUGAUA